UACGUACGUGGCGAGCGUUAUUCGGAUUCACUGGGCGUAAAGGGUGCGCAGGCGGCCAAGUGUGUUAGGCGUGAAAGCCCGGGGCUUAACCUCGGAAUUGCACCUAAAACUACAUGGCUAGAGCAUUGGAGAGGGUAGCGGAAUUCACGGUGUAGCAGUGAAAUGCGUAGAUAUCGUGAGGAACACCAGAGGCGAAGGCGGCUACCUGGACAAUUGCUGACGCUCAGGCACGAAAGCGUGGGGAGCAAAAGGG
rnacentral:rRNA from 1 species